rnacentral:rRNA from 1 species
UACGUAGGGUGCAAGCGUUAAUCGGAAUUACUGGGCGUAAAGCGUGCGCAGGCGGUUUUGUAAGUCUGUCGUGAAAUCCCCGGGCUCAACCUGGGAAUUGCGAUGGAGACUGCAAGGCUAGAAUCUGGCAGAGGGGGGUAGAAUUCCACGUGUAGCAGUGAAAUGCGUAGAGAUGUGGAGGAACACCGAUGGCGAAGGCAGCCCCCUGGGUCAAGAUUGACGCUCAUGCACGAAAAGCGUGGGGGAGCAA